rnacentral:ncRNA from 1 species
GGCGUAAUGCAGGGGAACCCGGUGACGGGUUGAGAAAGGCCGUGGGCCUGACCCUUAGAACCUGUUGGUUAACACCAGCGAAGGGAGACAUAAUCAUGGAGUAU